CGUGGAUCUCGAUGCUGGAACCGGACAUUGGCAGACAGUAUAAAAGAUCCUCUCUCUUUGAGGUUUCUCAUUCAGUCAACCACGCAGAGAGUGACAACGUCUUCUUGGUGAUCAGUAGGACUUCCUCAAACCACAUAACAAGAUGAGUCAACAACAACAAAGAGGAGGCAGCUGCUGCGGUGGUGGUGGUGGUGGUGGAAGCGGCGGAUGCUGCAGUGGAGGAUCUUCAUCUCAACAAAGCCAGAGAAGUGGUGGGUGUUGCAGUAGAAGCAGCAGUAUUGGUCGAAGCGGUGGAUGCUGUGGUGGAAGCAGCAGCGGAGGCCGAAGUGGUGGCUGCUGUGGUGGAAGCAGUGGCAGUAGCAGCGGUGGCUGCUGUGGAGGAUCUACUCAGCAGAAGCAACAGAAGACCGUGCCCCAGAAGCUGAAGUAGAUGCCUUCAAGAAGAACUGGGAUCCGUGAUGGCUGUCACGAACUGCAGACUCCUUCUCUUUUUGCAAGCCAACCUUGGCUAACCUUUCUGAAUCUCAAUCACAGUCUUCUGCUUUGCAAAACACCAUGUUUUAUUCUCCUGAUUUGGCAUUCUGGUGAAAACAUUAAACAGUUUCUUGCAGGCAAA